rnacentral:lncRNA from 1 species
AUAGUCCUUCUCAUAAAUGAUUGUAUAAAUUUACUUUGACUAUAGUUUAGUGAAUCUUUGUUCUCAAUUUUUUGAGUCAGGGUCUCAAUGUAUAGCUCAGGCUGGUAUCCAAAGCCUUUGAUUCUUCAGUCUCUUCUGUAUCUACAGUGUUGGGAUUUGAGAUGUAUGGAACCAGUACAGUUUUGAAAUGAUGUUCCGGUCGGGCAGUGGUGGCUAACGCCUUUAAUCUCAGCACUUGGGAGACAGAGGCAGGCCUGGUCUACAGAGUGAGUUCCAGGACAGCCAGGGCUACACAGAGAAACCCUGUCUCGAACCCCACCCCCAACAAAACAAACAAAAAACAAAAAAAGAAAUGAUUUUCUGCAGUCAGAGCAGCAGAGUUGUAAUCCUAGCUGAUGCAUACUUAAGCAUUCAUGUGCAUUGUGCAGUACUGAGGCUAACACUUUAAUUCCCAUUUAACUGUUGCAGUGACCCUCCUUAAACAUGAAUUGGUGUACCUGGUCAAGAUUUUGGGGGGCCAGAGGGAUGAUUGAGACAGGGUUUCUCUGUGAAGACUAGGCUGUCUUCUAGCUCACAAGAGAUCUGCCUGCCUCUGCCUCCACCUCACAAGUGUUGGGAUUAAAGGCUUGUGCCACUACCGCCCAGUUUGUACAUUAAUAAUAUGGACGAUCUUUUUAACUGUAAACCAUGAAAUUUACUUACUAAAUAUAAAACUUGGAAAAAUUGUGUAUAAGAUGAAGAUGCCAACAUUAUUAGUUAUCGUGGUUAAAGGGUCAUUCUCAUCUUGAUAAGUGUCUAAAAUCAAUACGAUAUAGUCAUACUGUUCCAUUUAUCCAACCUCUCACUUAUCUGGGGGUUCAUUUUCCUUCCCCGACUAAGCCAGUUAAUUUAGUACACCGUAGAAAAUAAGUUUUAAAAUAAUCAAUUGUUUGUUUCACUUUCAUAUUUAGGAACAAGUUCCUGUUCCCAUCUAUCAUCCGACACCUAGCCAGACUCGGCUAGCAACUCAGCUGACUGAAGAGGAACAAAUUAGAAUAGCUCAAAGAAUAGGCCUUAUACAGCAUCUGCCUAAAGGAGUUUAUGACCCUGGAAGAGAUGGAUCAGAAAAAAAGAUCCGAGAGUAAGUAGUAAUUUUAUGUAUUUUAGAGAUUUGUGUGUAGUUGUGGUUUUUUUUUUUUUUUCCUCUAUAAUACUGCAGACUGAACCUAGGACCUUGUGCCUGUGCUCCCCUCAGCUUUAUUUUCAACUAGAAAUGUCAGCUUUUGGAAUUUGCUUUUUUCUCAUGUUCUUAGGAAGCCUACGGAAUUCUGUAUUUGAAAACCUGAGUAUAGCAAUAAAGGAGAAUUCCUGCAUUCUGACCAUUAUAGUUGCUAGUUGUCUAUUUAUGACAGUUGAUGAUAGUUAAAACCAUUUAUAUAAAUGUGAUAUUUCUAAUAGCUUUGUUUUAUCAGUUUUCCAAGGAGUUUAAGCCUUUGUAAAUAAAUAGGAAUUAAACCUCUUUUAAACUCUGAGCAAAUUAAUAGGAAUGUUAUACCCUCUCCCCCCCUACACACACUAGAGUUUUAGGCACAAGAUUUUUACUAUAGUCUUAUUGAGGGGUGAAAAUCUAAACUCUGUAAUUGUAGAGGUAUAGUUGUUUUAACUUUUCAGAAAUACUUGGGGCUGGUGAGAUGGCUCAGUGGGUAAGAGCACCCGACUGCUCUUCCAAAGGUCCGAAGUUCAAAUCCCAGCAACCACAUGGUGGCUCACAACCACCCGUAAUGAGAUCUGAUGCCCUCUUCUGGUGCGUCUGAAGACAGCUACAGUGUACUUACAUAUAAUAAAUAAAUAAAUAAAUUAAAAAAAAAAAAAAAGAAAUACUUAGCCAGGCGUGGUUGUGCACACCUUUAAUCCUAGUAUUUGGGAGGUAGAGGCAUAUGGAUUUCUGAGGCCAGCCUGGUCUACACAGCAAUCUCUAGGACAGCCAGGACUACAUAAAGAAACCCUGUA